rnacentral:lncRNA from 1 species
AAUCAUCAUUUUGACUGCUAAGUUAAGGAAAGGAUCAGUCAGAUAAAAAAGAUUAGCAAUGAGCUUACAAUCCCCAAAAAAGUCCUACCUGUCAACUAGUAGCCAUAUAACUGAUUCAUUCAAUAGUUUAAGUUUAAACCAUGGAUCCCCACCUAAACUCGCAACAUAUAAGGCACAUUUCAGAGCUGACCUCAGAACACAAUAACACGACUAGGAAAGAAAUAAAAUUGCGUCGAGCUAAUCAUGACUUAAAUAUUACUCAUCAUCCCUAAGUACACUUAUCAACAUUUCAACAAAAGCACUUCUGAAAUUAAGUAUUACAGCACAAGUAAAUGAAGAAAGCAAAUAUAACUGACUAUAGACUACUUUAUAUAUUAUUCCAUACUUCAAUCUCCAACUUUAUUGCAUUUAGAUGAUGACCAAGUGUCGUUAGGAAUACCUGGAAGUGAAAAUAAAACCAAAUCAAGUAUUAGCCUUGAAAGUUGAGGGUCAGUGAUAGAUUAACAUAUUCAAAAACAGAAACAGGCGAGGUCAUCCCAGAAAUCUCAAUGAAACAGUAAAUUUUGCUCUAUUUGAAGUGGAAACUUUUGAAAGUCAUCGAUUACAACCCUUCUACUUCGAAUGAACAACUUCAAAUUUCAGAAAAUCCUACAGAAAAAUGUGUAGAAAUAUUUCACUAGCUAAUGCCCCCUUUCAAGACUCUGUUUCGCUUGGUUCCUCGUUUUUUUUUCUUACCUUCACAAGGCCAUCAUACAGUGCCUUUAUAGGUAAGAAUUAGGACAGGCUUCAGAAAUUCAUUUUUGCCCUUUAGUCCCUUAUUUUUUGACUUUUAACCAAGUCAUAUAAUGAAGCUUUAGUAACAUAUCCCUACUACAAGCUUCCUGAUUCUGUUAUGAAAGGUUCUUUGAUCCUAGACUACCCAAAAUGCCCCCUUAGCCUGUCAAUGUCUAAACAAACACAUGCAAGUUGACCCAAUACGGACGAGUCUAAAUGGACUAAUGUAAACCUUUUGUUGGGGCCUUCUGAUUUUUGAGCCCCAAACGAAUUCAAUGGGAUAGGUAGGCUUGGCUAAAAGAGAGAUCCCAACCCCCUUUUCUAAAAUAACCCAGAAGGUUAACCAUGGCUAACUUCUCAGUAGAUUAAUUAACCCAUUCUAUUCUAACUCAAACAAAAUAAAAAAGAAUAAACCAAACUGAAGACUACUGGUACGCAAAACUAACUACUGAAUGACAAAAACAAAACAAAAAAAAUCAGGAUGACCAAAGAAAAGGAAAUUAAGUCAGGAACAAAUGGAGAAAUCAGAGAAGCCUAAUGAAAGAAAGGAGAACACAAGAAAGAAGGAGAGACUUAUCAGAUACUGAAUUUGAAACCCACUCGAGACCCAACUUUGCCUCACUUGCACACAAUCGACUAUCCCUGUACUUAGCCUUUGCUUGCAUGUGAACCGGGUGAAAGCUUGAUUUGAGCGAAGAUCAAAAGAGGCAAGAUGAAGUGAGUUGCAGUGCUACAUGUGACCCACGAUUUGGGAGAGAAGGAAGAGACAAAGGUGGAUUUUGAAUGGAAGUGUAACAGUGGUCACAUGGUCCAGUUUUGAGGUUUAUUCGAAGGCAGCGCCGCCGUACGCGGUGGCACGGUUAUUUAAGGUUUGAAUUAUUUGAGAAAUCCGGGUGGGAUUUCAUGGAAACAUGGCUCGGAUUUUGAAAGAGGAGGGUGAGAUGAUCGAGUUGUGUACGGCAUGGAGAGUUUGGAUGCCGGUCACCGCCGUGGGCAAUUUCCGGCGGUGGCAAUGGUGGUGCAGAUGGGUGUGAUAAAGAAGACAAGUCGUUUGAGAUCCAUAGUUAAUGUGACAAUGAUUGGACAUUUUAAUUUAACAUGGGGAGGCUAUUUGAGCCGUUGGAUGAGAUAAAAUGGAGGGACGGGAUUGGCUUUCAUUGGGGAACUCGGAACUGCAUCGUUUUGUGUUGGACUCGGGCUAGGGUGGAAUUUUAGCCGGGUACCACUGGCCCUGGAAUGGGGCGUGGACUUGGGAAAGGAUUUUGGGCCCCAAUUUUUUUUAACAAUGGCCCAAGUUGGGUC